UUCUAUUAAUUCUUCAAUUAAUUCUCCCAUCAGCAACACCUUCACCACACUCCACACACAACCACCUGCGUCACUUUAACUAUCCUUCACCACUCUAUAUGCACAUGAAUAUGUUCUAGGAACCUGGAGAAAUCGAAGGUGAAUUUGCGGUAUGGGGUACAGAUAGAGUAUUAAAUGAUUUCUUCAAUUAUCGCAAACCUGCCCCCCUUUUUCUACCCAAAGGUAUUGGGUUCGGAACCUCACCUGAUGAUCCUAUAAUCUUGCCUUCAUGGAUGUCCAAAGAAGAUCUUGAAUACUACACAAGCAAAUAUGAAAAAACUGGCUUCACCGGAGGUCUAAACUACUAUCGAGCUUUGAACUUGUAAGUUAGAUUCGAACUACCUAGCUAUAUAAUUAAGUUGAAGUUGUUUAAUUUAGUAAAAAUGGACAAAAAAGAAAACUCUUUUUGUGGAUUUACAGGAACUGGGAGCUAACUGGCCCAUGGACUGGAGCUCAAGUGAAGGUACCUGUUAAGUUCAUCGUGGGUGACCUUGACCUGACCUACAACUCGAUGGGUGCUAGAGACUAUAUAGAAAAAGGAGGGUUCAAAAAAGAUGUGCCUCUUUUAGACGAUGUAACCGUACUGCAAGGUGUAGGUCAUUUUCUUCAUGAAGAAAAACCUGAAGAGAUCAGCAAACAUAUCCAUCAAUUCGUAAGCAGUUAUAUAUAAUGCCUUCAACCUUUAUGAUAAGAUUUAAGUGGUUUAAUUAAGGGAGAGACCCGAUCAUUCGAGCGAUGCAGAAGUUUAAUUGCUUAGUAGUCUUCUAUCGUGCAAGUUAAAGAUUUCUCUAGGAAGUGAUUUUGGAUUAAAUAAAUGUCAUCGUGUACGCUUUUAAGUAUGAAGGCUGAAAUUUAAUGGAGUAAACACA
rnacentral:lncRNA from 1 species